UGCGGCGCGGGCCGCGUUGCCCCUCGCUGGCCGAGGCGCUGGAGGGGCUGCAGGACGUGGAGCGCUACUACCGGCACCUGUACCUGGAGAGCAAGCUUCUCCUCCUCCGCGUCAGCUGUGACAGCCUGGCAGACAUGGAAGCCCUCCCACAGUCUUGGGAGAGGAUUUUGGAGCGCUACAAGGAAGACGUUGUCCAAGAUACGCUUCUUAAGAUCUCUCUGUUUGUGGACAACCAUCGAGAGCUGUGCUGCUCACCCAGCUCCUGACAGAGAACAGGAGGGACUGAUGUUGACCAGCUUCUACGAGAGUCUGGUGUGUUCCGAGAUGACCACAAAGAGGAUGGUGAAUUGAGGAAGCUUUACUGGUGCUUUUU